rnacentral:snRNA from 1 species
AUACUUACCUGGCAGGGGAGAUACCAUGACCACGAAGGUGGUUCCAGGUGAGGCUUAUCCAUUGCACUCCGAUGUGCUGACCCUGCGAUUCCCAAAUGUGGAAACUCGACUGCAUAAUUUGUGGUAGUGGGGACUGCGUUCGCGCUUUCCCUGA